AACGAACGCUGGCGGCAUGCCUAACACAUGCAAGUCGAACGAGACCUUCGGGUCUAGUGGCGCACGGGUGCGUAACGCGUGGGAACCUGCCCUUAGGUUCGGAAUAACUCCCCGACAGGGGUGCUAAUACCGGAUAAUGUCUUCGGACCAAAGAUUUAUCGCCUUUGGAUGGGCCCGCGUUGGAUUAGCUAGUUGGUAGGGUAAAAGCCUACCAAGGCGACGCUCCAUAGCUGGUCUGAGAGGAUGAUCAGCCACACUGGGGCUGGGACACGGCCCAGACUCCUACGGGAGGCAGCAGUGGGGAAUAUUGGACAAUGGGCGGAAGCCUGAUCCAGCAAUGCCGCGUGAGUGAUGAAGGCCUUAGGGUUGUAAAGCUCUUUUACCCGGGAUGAUAAUGACAGUACCGGGAGAAUAAGCUCCGGCUAACUCCGUG
rnacentral:rRNA from 1 species